ACGGGAGGCAGCAGUGAGGAAUAUUGGUCAAUGGGCGGGAGCCUGAACCAGCCAAGUAGCGUGGAGGAUGACGGCCCUACGGGUUGUAAACUCCUUUUGCCGGGGGAUAAAAAACGGGACGCGUCCCGUCUUGCAGGUACCCGUGCGAAUAAGGACCGGCUAAUUCCGUGCCAGCAGCCGCGGUAAUACGGAAGGUCCGAGCGUUAUCCGGAUUUAUUGGGUUUAAAGGGAGCGCAGGCGGAGAUGUAAGCCAGCCGUUAAAUCGUGGGGCUCAACCCCAUCUUGCGGUUGGAACUGCAUCCCUUGAGUGCACGAGAGGAUGGUGGAAUUCGUGGUGUAGCGGUGAAAUGCAUAGAUAUGACGAAGAACUCCGAUUGCGAAGGCAGCCUACUGUAGCGUUACUGACGCUAAAGCUCGAAAGUGUGGGUAUCGAACAGGAUUAGAUACCCUGGUA
rnacentral:rRNA from 1 species